rnacentral:lncRNA from 1 species
UCCAUCGCAAGAGCAUGGGAUGAAACGAGGAGUAGUCCACGGUGAUUCCUCUGCAGCGGUGGGUAUUAUUCAUCGCGUAUGUGACACCAAAACGGUGGGUAUUAUUGAUCGCGUAUGUGACACCAAAACCACCCCACUCCACUCAAGCUGUGGCUCUUUCCCUAAAGUAGAAAACAGAGACCAGUUGGGUUCCGAGCAUCCACGAAGAUUUUAUUAAAUUCGUGAUCCCUGGUGGUACCAUGGAGUCAGGAUUGGCUCAUCUCAAACCUGACUCAGAAGCAAAACCAUCUCAAUGUGCAGAGAUGAGUGGCCUUACCCGCUAUCAUAACGUAUUUUCUGGUGUUUUCACAGUGCUGCACUUCCUAAUCCCCAUUCCAGGGCAAUCCACAAGCCAUAAUGUCCAGAGGCAUUAACAAAGGAGACACACAGGGGCUCCUCAUGUUUGCUUUCUGCGGUUUUGAUGAAAAUCUGUUUCCUCAUCUCAUACAAUAUGGUUAGUAGUAGUAUCAUUUAGGGUUGAAGAAUUAAAUGGUACGAAUUAUAUAGGGUGCUUAUGAUAACCUACAUGGAAAAUGCCUAGGAUAUGUUAGCUAUGCUCAUCACCAACAUCGUUAUAUGAUGGUAAUAAUCAAAUAGUCAGGAAGGCCGACACCAAGAAAAUGGAUACAUGCUCUGAGGGAAUGAAUAUGGAGAGAUCAGAAGGUCAAGAACAAAGCCGUACAACAUGUCUGCAGUAAAGGGAUAGAGAAAAGAAAGGCUAUAAAAGAAGGAGUGAAACAGAGUUAGAGCAAAAUUAUAAAAUCAAAGCUAAGGAGNNNNNNNNNNAAUUUAAAAUAGAAUUACCUUUCAAGCCAACAAUUCCAUUACUGGUAUAUGACCCAAAAAAAGUCAGUUAUUCUACCAAAAAGACAUAUGCACUUGCAUGUUAAUCGCAGCACUAUUCACAAUAGGAAAGACAUGGAGUCAGCCUAGGUGUCCAUCAACAGUGGAUUGGAUCAAUAAAAUGUGGUAAAUCCACAGUAUUAUUAGGCCAUUCUUGCAUUGCUAUGAAUAAAUACCUGAGACUGGGUAAUUUAUAAGGAAAAGAGAUUUAAUUGGCUCAUAGCUCUGCAGGCUGUACAGGAAGCAUGGUGACGACAUCUGCAUGGCGCUUGUGGAGUCUCCAGGGAGCUUUUACUCAUGAUGGAAGGUGAACAGUGGGUCACACCUGGAGAAAUCAU